rnacentral:rRNA from 1 species
GAUGAACGCUGGCGGCGUGCUUAACACAUGCGAGUCGAACGGUGAGGGCGGAGCUUGCUCUGCUGGAUCAGUGGCGAACGGGUGAGUAACACGUGAGCAAACUGCACCUGACUCUGGGAUAAGCGCUGGAAACGGCGGCUAAAACUGGAGACGAGCUGCGAAGGCAUAUUCAGCAGCUGGAAAGGACGGCGGUCAGGGAUGUGCUCGCGGCCUAUCAGCUUGUUGGUGAGGUAAGGGCUGACCAAGGCGUCGACGGGUAGCCGGCCUGAGAGGGUGACCGGCCACACUGGGACUGCGACACGGACCAGAAUCCUACGGGAGGCAGCAGUCGGGAAUAUUGCACAGUGGGCGCACGCCUGAUGCAGCGACGCCCGGUGCGGGACGCCGUCUUUCGGGUUGUAAACCUCUUUUAGCAUGGCAGAACCGAAAGUGACGGUACCUGCAGAAAAAGCGCCGGCUAACUACGUG